rnacentral:misc_RNA from 1 species
GAUGAAGAACGGAGCGAAAUGCGAUAAGUAAUGUGAAUUGCAGAAUUCAGUGAAUCAUCGAAUCUUUGAACGCACCUUGCGCCCGCCAGUAUUCUGGCGGGCAUGCCUGUCUGAGCGUCAUUUCAACCCUCAUGCCCCUAGGGCGUGGUGUUGGGGAUCGGCCAAAGCCCGCGAGGGACGGCCGGCCCCUAAAUCUAGUGGCGGACCCGUCGUGGCCUCCUCUGCGAAGUAGUGAUAUUCCGCAUCGGAGAGCGACGAGCCCCUGCCGUUAAACCCCCAACUUUCCAAGGUUGACCUCAGAUCAGGGAGGAAUACCCGCUGAACUUAAGCAUAUCAAUAAGCGGAGGA